UGGGUUGUGGCUCAGUGGUAGAGUGCUUGCCUAGCAUGCAUGAGGUACGGGGUUCGAUCCUCAGCACCACAU
rnacentral:tRNA from 1 species